GACGAACGCUGGCGGCGUGCUUAACACAUGCAAGUCGAACGGAAAGGCCCUGCUUUUGUGGGGUGCUCGAGUGGCGAACGGGUGAGUAACACGUGAGUAACCUGCCCUUGACUUUGGGAUAACUUCAGGAAACUGGGGCUAAUACCGGAUAGGAGCUCUUGCUGCAUGGUGGGGGUUGGAAAGUUUCGGCGGUUGGGGAUGGACUCGCGGCUUAUCAGCUUGUUGGUGGGGUAGUGGCUUACCAAGGCUUUGACGGGUAGCCGGCCUGAGAGGGUGACCGGCCACAAUGGGACUGAGAUACGGACCAGACUCCUACGGGAGGCAGCAGUGGGGAAUAUGGCACAAUGGGCGGAAGCCUGAUGCAGCAACGCCGCGUGCGGGAUGACGGCCUUCGGGUUAUAAACCGCUUUCGCCUGUGACGAAGCGUGAGUGACGGUAAUGGGUAAAGAAGCACCGGCUAACUACGUG
rnacentral:rRNA from 1 species